rnacentral:lncRNA from 13 species
AUGAGGGCGCACAGACAAACACAUUGGCCAGGAGACAAGACAGGGUCCCGGGCAUCUCCGCCCCGGGGAGGGCGCAAAGUGCUCACUUCUGGUGUCCGCCCAGUGGAUUUCGCUCCCGCGUGUGGGCGUCUGAAAGGAAACCAGAAGCCGGUAAGUGAUACAAGAACUCCACUUCUGGGAUUUGACCCGGGAGGGUGAAGAUCCGGAUAGACAGCUAGACACUCCCUCCAUUCCUCUCCCCCACCUUCCAAUAAGAAGGGACUGAAGUGAGUUUCAGGCACCAAGUUAUUUACUCGGUAGAGAUCGUGACUUUGCCCGGUUCUCUGUGCUGCCCCGCACCCUGCUUGUUAUCCACGUUAAGACUACUGGCCUGUUAAUUAACUUUAAUUACGAUCAUUUGGCCUCUACCUGCCUGAACCCGAUACCUUACAGGGGAACCUGUCGGCAGUGAAUUUACCAGAUUGAUCUUUCUUGUUUACUUUUGGAGACAGUUCUCUUGGGAGAAAUGGUGUCCAUCCUAUUUGAUAAAGUAAGUUUUAUUUUACCUAAUUCUGGCUUGUUUUCUUAAACACUUCUCCCACCUUGAGGUGAUCUGGAGUUAUUUUGAUUUGGGCAAAGGCUUCGUGAAAUGAUACAGGCUUUGAUAGAGAAAAAAAUACAAGAACAUAAGCUAGUUUGUGUGGAAUAAUGACAUCUUAAGCUUUUGUAAAUUAGAUAUCCUGAUAGCAAAUUCUCUUUCUUUCUUUCUUUUUUUUUUGCUUGUCCUCUACUCAGUGGGAUACGGCCUUUGGUUAAAAAAAAAAAAAGUUGAAGUGUAUUGGAAAUAAGCUAUUUUUAAAAGUACAUUUAAUAGGAUGUCAUUGUUAUUACCCAUAAUAGUAUUGUAUUUACAAGCUCGGUAUUGAUUUCUCUGCACUUAAGCACUCUACACCCCCGGGCUUAUGGAACCUUGCCCAUAAGUAAUUGGAAGAUGAAGUUGUGGGUGUUUUAAAAAGGAAGCUAACUUUUUUUUUUUUUUUUUGCUUAAAAAAAGAGAGAGAAAUACCUUUAAACUCCUAUUUGUGACUUCCAUACUCUUACAGGAGAAAUAUUUAGAGAAAAUGAUCAUGAUGUUCAUUGUCCAACAAAGUUUAAAGAAGAAAAAAAAAGUAGGUCAUGGAUCUAGGCUAGGGUCUAAAGUGCAAAUAUCUUCCUGGCGUCGUUCCAAACAUAUUUAACACGUACACAUUUAAGGUGGUUCCUAACAUGAAGAAGGUUUUAUAUAGAUUUGUCAUUACUCAAAGAUUUAUUUAAAUUAAAAUGUACCUAGAGGGUAAGUGAGAGAGCUUGUUACAACUUACAUGGAUGUGCAUGGGUUUGUAUUUUUCCUUCCUCUGUAAACUUGUCAGAUUUUAUGUGGCUUGUCUGUAAAAGGAGAAGCUGAUGGUACAUUAAAAACAAAUUCUUGUUUUUCUCAUAUCACUGCAAGCUCCUUGCAGUGUAUGGCUCAUGCGCAUUCGAUAAUGAUCAGAUCUAACUAUUCUUGGAUACUGUGGAUAAGUAGAGAACUCAGAUUAUAAUGAAUUACAGUGUUCUUAAGAACUUUUACAUUAAUGCAUUGAAACUGUGAAGUUUUUAAAGCCUGCUUAGGAUUCUGGGUUAUAGAUGUUGUGAUAUAUGAGUUUUUUUGUUUGUUUGGUUGGUUGGUUUUGUUACUUUCUAACCUAUCUCCCUGCAACUAUGAGAAAGUUUGGUGAAAGCCACUAUAAAAAUGUUGAGUAUAAAUGAUAGUCAUUACUUUAAUAGUUUUCUUUUAGCACACAUUUCCACCUGCCCCAUUUAUUUAUUGACGUAUUUCUUGGAUACAUCUUUGCACAUGCUACACUGUAAGACUUUUGGGAAUUCUUUGUGAAACAUUAAUUAGGUAGCGAACUUCUUAAUAAUCUGGGAAAUAUGUCUUAGCUUUGACAAAAUAUGGUGGAUGUAAGAUUAGAAGCUAUGACGCUGUCAUAAUCUUUUCUGUAGAGUUCUGGACCCUGUGAUUUAUCAUUUUAUCUUUUAUUUCUGAAGUAUUGGCCAGAUUAAAUAUAUAAUGGUAGGUGGACUAUUUUGCUCAUUUGUUUUUGUUUUGAACUGAGACAGUACUCAGUGGUAUUCUCUUCAUGUGAUCCUUUCUAGUUAGAAAGUUGUCCUGUGAAAUUUUGUUUCAGUUUCUGUUCAGCACAAGCUUACUUAUUUACCCAUGUUGCAGAGAAAACAAAGGAGGCCUGAUUUGGUUGAAGUAAUCAUUUUGGGGAGCAGAUUUGAGAUUUUUUUUAAGAGUUCCUGAGAACUCAUGAAGAUGAUGGGGCCGCUUCUCUAUGUAAUUAAAAAUAAAACUGUACUAAAAUAUAAAACA